rnacentral:rRNA from 1 species
UACGAAGGGGGCUAGCGUUGUUCGGAUUUACUGGGCGUAAAGCGCGCGUAGGUGGCUAUGCAAGUCGGAUGUGAAAUCCCCGGGCUCAACCUGGGAACUGCAUUCGAGACUGCAUUGCUUGAGUAUGGGAGAGGGAAGUGGAAUUUCCGGUGUAGCGGUGAAAUGCGUAGAUAUCGGAAGGAACAUCAGUGGCGAAAGCGACUUCCUGGACCAAUACUGACACUCAAGUGCGAAAGCGUGGGGAGCAAACAGG